GAUCAUGGCUCAGGAUGAACGCUAGCUACAGGCUUAACACAUGCAAGUUGAGGGGCAGCAUGGUCUUAGCUUGCUAAGGCCGAUGGCGACCGGCGCACGGGUGAGUAACGCGUAUCCAACCUGCCUUACACUCUUGGACAGCCUUCUGAAAGGGAGAUUAAUACAAGAUGUUAUCAUGAGUAAGCAUUUUCGCAUGAUUAAAGGUUUACCGGUGUAAGAUGGGGAGUGCG
rnacentral:rRNA from 1 species